GUUGGUGUCAGAGGAAAAGGGGUCAAGGGAGGAAAGCUGAAAAGUGCUGGUGAGUGAGUGGAGAGUUAAAAGGAAGAACCAGGAAGAUCCUGAUAAAGACACUGUCUGCACUCCACUCAGAUGCCCUUUGAGUCUAUGCGCUGUUUCUGGGCUCAUCCUCCAGCCUCAAUGUGUUUGCUGACACACAGCAUGUCCUGUGGGACUGGAGAAAUAUGGAGAAUGCAGCACACUUGCUUCCUACUGAAGAUUAAAAUCAAAUUGUUUUGGGACAGCAGAGGAUGAAGAAACUCAUUUUGACUGAAGUUAUUGGAUGAGACAUGGCUGUGGACAACUUCAGAGAAGAUAUAUUUAAGCAGAACCUUAAACUUAUGUCAGAAUUUUUAAUCACCAGAGAUCAGCAAAGCCAAAGGCAUAUAGACUAUUUCUCAGAUGCACUUGUCAAGAUGAGAGAAUGUGGGCAGAGGAAAUGCCUGAAAAACCAGAUGGCACAAGUUACUCAGAAGAAAUGAAAGGAUUUUCCAUAAUUCAAAUAGGAGGUGGAAGAGGAAGUGUGGGAGUAAUUACUGGAUUAAGAUCACUGAAAGACAAGAUUGUCUCUAAGGUGAAGUGAAGUGAAUGACAUAGGCAUUGUGAUGCAGCGUUAGGCUACUACAGUAUUGACCUUCUGACCAUACAUCAGAAAGAGGAUCAUCUGCUUCUGGUGAUCUUGGAUUAUCAAGCUAUGACAAUGUUGAUGGUUGCAUGUCAGGAGCAGAUAAUAUUGAUGACUAACAGAAGACUGAGAAGAAAAGAAGCUUGCUCAAGGUCACAUAGAGCUGGAAUUUAAAUUCAGAUCUAUUAUACUCUUAAGGACUGUGGAAGGCAGAGGCUAUGUCAAAUUGCAGAAACUUAUCUAUUCUCCGUGACCAUGACUCCUGGCCAUAACUGAGUGGAUGGUGGAUAGGACACCCGAGCCAAGUUGGUGCAAUCAUAUUGGCUCUUUCAGGAUGUUGGAAUUGGGAUUUAGAGACCUGUGACUUAUAUGAGUAUACUCGGGAGUUAUAAGGUAAUGGCUGUCCUGUAUGUACAUAGGCAGAGACAACAGGUAUGGAGAGAGAGAAUGAUAAAGCAGCCAUAUAGAAGAAAGACAGACCAUGUGUUCCUUGAGAGAGAGAGUGUGUAAGAGAGAAAGGUAGAGGUAGGUUGGGAGAGAGUAACAGAGAGAGAGAGAAAGAGAGAGAGAAAAUGAUAAAAGAGUAGCUACUUGGAUUUUUGAUCUGUCUCCAGGCCUUCUGAGGCCUGCUUCCAUUUCCACAUACCAUCAUUCAAGAUAAUCUCUGUGAUGAGUCUUUGUAACUUGCACACCAAAAAAAAAAAAAAAAAAGUCUUCAUGCAUGAUAAAUUAUUCCGUGCAGUUCCACAGAGAUCUUCUAAGGGAAAGAAAAUAUAAGUCCACUUAACCCAAUCUCAGAAUGGCCUUAUUUUAGUUUUGUGAUGGUUGCUAGUGGUCCAGAGUAUUUUUCAGGUUCCAAGGGAGACAUGGAGAUGUGGGACUAUUCAAACAGCUGGAACUUGAGGAUGUACUUGGGGCUAUAGUUAGAGGUGAUGAUAGAAGUGAAAAAAGUGAAUAAGAUGCUCAACUUUUAAUUUUACAAGCUCAGACACUCAAGAAACCAAAACAUCGUGAAUGGAAAAGAAAAGAUAGGGUACAUUUCUAACUUUAAAAUAAUUAUAAUCUAGGUAGAGAAAAGUAAAAUAUACACAUAUGCACCCAGAACUAAAUGAGUGCUACAGAUUAUAAGCAUUAUAAGAUAUAAAGAAGAUAGCUAUUAUUGCUGGGCUAUUGUUUUCAGGUAUUAAUAACGUCAGGUUUGGCUUAGGCUAUAAAGGAUAACUUUGCUCUCACAAUGGAAAAUGUAGUGACUUGAGGUCAGCUUUUCUACUUACUAGAUAUGUGACUGUGAUCAGUCACUUUACCUUUCCAAUUUCACAGCAGUUUCCUCCUCUGUAAAAUGAGGGCUGUGUAUUGGAUUCAUUAAUUCAUUCAAAACAUAAACUUUCAGUGCCCACUGUAAUGUACAGAACUAGGAAUACUGCAUAAAUACCAGUCUUCUAAAAAGACUGUCACUCUGAUGUGUCUAUGAACAAAAGACAGUGGGAGGCAACUAAGCUGCCUACAGGUAAAGAAAAACUCCAUUGAGACCAUGUUUGGAUGAAUAGGAGUUGUUAGGUGAAUCCGAUAAUGAUGGAACCUUCCGGAGAAAGGGUUGCAUAGAUCAUUGCAAAUGUUUCUUGUAGCAUUAAUAUUUUUCUUUGCUUCUGCUUUGUUUAGAGGAGGAGGAAGGGAGUGAACAAAUGUUGGGUAGGAGUUAAGCGUAUGAAUUGAAGAGAAGAUAGAAGGAAAUAAUUUCCUGGGCUUCUUCAAACCCCUAAAAUGUAUUCAAAGUGAAUUCCAUGAAGGAAAAUACAUGAAAAAGCAGAUAAUUAAAACCUCCUUUGCCUCCUCUGUAUUUCUGUCUUGUAUAAGAUCUUAGAGAUACUGCAAAAAUGAUAUAAUAGGAUUCAUGUCCCUCAUAGACGUUUAGGACUCCCAUCCAGAGGCAGUGUGUGGAGUGCUUAAGAAUUUGAGUUUUGAAGACAGAUCACAUGCUAGCUAACACCACCACCUACUAGUUGUAAGAUCUUUAAAAAGUUUAAACUUUUUUGUGCCUUUGUCUUCUCAUCUGUAAAAUGGAGAUGAUAACAAUAGCUACUUCCUCCUAUGGUGAGAAUUAAAUGUAUUAAACAUAUAAAGUGCCUAGAACCAGCACAUAAAAGCACACUGGCAUUUAAAAAUAAUAGCAUAUUAGUUAUUAUUACCUAUUAUUCCAUAGAGAGUUCACCACCGAGGUGAGGUAAUGGCAAUAUGCCUCCCUACAUUAGUGAGUAACCUGAGGGUGCUUCCCUGUGCCUGGUCUUCAAUAGGGAUGGCUUAGAAUUUGCUUAUUUAGUCAUGAUACAAAAGUAUGUCCAAUGAGGCCCUAUUUCAGGCACGGUGAACUAUAUGAAAGCAGAAAUAAAUAAACCGUGAAGUACAAUAUUCCAACACAAGGCAGUACAUUUUAAAUAUAAAACAAAUAUUUAGGAGCUCAGAGGAGGCAGAUGUGACAGCUGCCUGAAACAUCAGGGGACACUUCUUGGGUGGCAUGGGAAGUGUACAAUGACAGACAUCAUUUCAGGGAUUUAAGUCAGGAUUUGCCUCAGCUGGUUUGCGCACCCUCUUUGCAUUCACAAGCCUUUCUUUCAUCUCCCCUGAGCUUUUAGAGCAAAAUCUGAUCCAGAGACUGGGGAUGCUGGAGGAGCGUCAAGGCUGGGAAAGUAACAUGCACUGUGUUCGCAAUCAACAGAAAAGAUAUUUUUAAACAAAAACAAUUUUCCAAGUUUCCAGGAAGAGAAACAAAAGGCUUUUCUAAAAUGAAAGAAACUGUUCUUCUCAUUCUGUGACUUUUAUGUCACUUGGACAACAAGCCAGUGCUUAGGAACGGUUAUUUUCCUGUCGACAUCGCUGCAUGGAUACUUCUUAGAAGGACAUAACAGCAUUAGCACUCAGUCCCAGGUUCUGCUCACCCUCCAAUGGCAGUCGUCUUCAAAAACAAUAAAGAUAUCUGUGCUUGGUC